UACGGCCAUAUCACAUUGAAACACCGCUUCUUAUACGAUCACGGAAGUUAAGCAACGUCAGAUCCUGGUCAGUACUUAGAUGGGUGACCGCUAUGGAAUACCAGGUGCU